GAUGAACGCUAGCUACAGGCUUAACACAUGCAAGUCGAGGGGUAACGAGAGGAAAGCUUGCUUUCCUUGUCGACGACCGGCGCACGGGUGAGUAACGCGUAUCCAACCUGCCCCCAACUAGGGAAUAACCUUGCGAAAGUAAGACUAAUACCCUAUAAUUUCCUCAGAUGCCAUCUGACGAGGAAUAAAGAUUUAUCGGUUGUGGAUGGGGAUGCGUCUGAUUAGCUUGUUGGCGGGGUAACGGCCCACCAAGGCAACGAUCAGUAGGGGUUCUGAGAGGAAGGUCCCCCACAUUGGGACUGAGACACGGUCCAAACUCCUACGGGAGGCAGCAGUGAGGAAUAUUGGUCAAUGGGCGGAAGCCUGAACCAGCCAAGUAGCGUGCAGGAUGACGGCCCUAUGGGUUGUAAACUGCUUUUAUACAGGAAUAAAGUUAGCCACGUGUGGUUAUUUGUAGGUACUGUAUGAAUAAGGACCGGCUAAUUCCGUGCCAGCAGCCGCGGUAA
rnacentral:rRNA from 1 species